rnacentral:rRNA from 1 species
UACGGAGGGAGCUAGCGUUGUUCGGAAUUACUGGGCGUAAAGCGCACGUAGGCGGACUCUUAAGUCGGUGGUGAAAUCCUGGAGCUCAACUCCAGAACUGCCUCCGAUACUGCGAGUCUCCGAGUCCGGGAGAGGUGAGUGGAACUGCGAGUGUAGAGGUGAAAUUCGUAGAUAUUCGCAAGAACACCAGUGGCGAAGGCGGCUCACUGGCCCGGUACUGACGCUGAGGUGCGAAAGCGUGGGGAGCAAACAGG